rnacentral:hammerhead_ribozyme from 18 species
AUGCGAAACCGUCCUCCGUGCGGGAGCGGAGGCGGUCGUCCGGCGGUGGCGCGUCGGACCUGAUGAGCAGCCAAGC